AUAACAAGAAUAGUAAUAAUGAUAAUAAUUUUGAGCCAUGAGUAGAUUCUGUAAUUUUGUUGCAUUUAAUAGUCCUGUGGAAGCUACUAGUUUAUUGACAGAAAAUGACCUCCUAAGUUACGUGCUUCUUCCAAGCCACUAGCCAGCAACAUUGACAUAUAAAUAUAAGUUGUGUUUUCAGCUGUUAGAUAUUAAUAUAUCUUUUAUUGUAUACAUGUGACUUAACUUGCACAAUUAGAUCUUGAAAAGUUGCUUGUUUGGCUUUUUUCAUAAAAUAUUUUGCUUUAAAUAUGAUGCUUUAUAGCCAGACCGUUUAUUGUAGAAUACCCAUUUCUUAGAUGUUUGGUUUAGCUGGGGAAAUUUUUCAACUAAACAAUCUGAAUCUCCUAAAAGGGAUCUAAUUCUACUUCAUCGCACUUCACACCUCAAAUAAUUGAUAAUUCAAUCAAUUUUUUUGGUGCAAAAUAGAGGAUAUCUCUUGACUGGGGAGAGAAUGAGGAAAUCUUAUAUGGCCAUGUUCUGAAAGGUACUUCUGGCACACCAAGAAGCAUAAGGGUACUUUUGGGAAUACAAAUCCCCUAGAGACAUGAUAGAGCUUGUUGCUCAGAGGAUAGGAUUACAUGGUUACAAACCAUGACGCAGGGGUUUGAAUCCUUCCUCACCCACAACCAGCAUAAAAAAGGAUCUUACUCGUUGGUUAGGAAAAUCAUGAUUGAGAUAACGGAUUUAAAGCUACAGAACUUGAGUGAUUCUCUUAUUGAAAUAAUAUGGCCUUAGAUUUUAUCUUAAUUAGAGUAAUUAUUUAUAGGUAAUAGUUUUCACCAUAUAGUAUUCAUAUUUCUAGUCUAAACCAAUGUAUUUUUUAUAUACCUUGUGAUUUCUCCUCAAAAUGGCGUGGUAAGAACAACCUAACAAGUACAAGUAUUAGUAGCAUUGUGAAAACACUUCCCCCAAAUUGAUAUAUUUCCUUAUAGUAAUUGUUACCUCUUGAGAGGAUUGAUGACUACAUUUUGAUGCACUUGUUAAUGCUAUUGCAUUAUAAAUUUUUAAUUGGAUAGUUGUAAAUAGUCCCAAAACUAGGGAAUAAAAGAUUAUCCUAAACGUACACAGGGUACUUGCCUGUGAUUCUCAAAUAACGUGAUUCAUUGAGAUGGAAGGCACAAAAACAAGAACAUGAGAAGAGGGUUACCUACUUUUAAUACUUAAAUGAAUCGUAUUCUAAAUUCUUUAAUAGAUAGUGAAUCAAAUUUUUCCAAGUAAAAUUUAUGCCUAUGACUAAUCAGUUAACAACCAAGCACUAUACUACAGAGUUAUUAAAAAACAACAGGAGAUAAAAGGAUUUAAUGAAAAAGAAAAUUCAAAACUAUGGAUGUAACAUGAUAUUCUUCCAAGACAAGUGAAGCUACCAUAUUGUUUUUGAGGAAGAAGCGAACAUAUAUUUAAUCUGCCGUCCAUUGGAUUUUUGAAAACUGAGUCACAAAGAGAAACUUUGCUACUAAUAGGAUACAAAUGUAAUUGUGAAUAAACAAAAGUGAUCAUGAAUUGUGGUUGCAGAAUGCAGCUAUGCUAUGCUGAUGCUGUCAUGAAUCAUAGUUACAGGCUGCAACUUGCUGGAAGUUACAAAAACUUAUUGGUUGCUGAGAGUGCAUCAUGUAAAAAGCAAUAAAAGUUGCUUGCCACGCGUGAAAUGGAGAGAAUAAAUAAAGUGAAUGUUUGAUAGGCAAUGUUGAUGGUUGGAAUAUUCUGAAAAGAACAUCUCAAAUGUCAAGCAAGCCAUAAAUUACAGUUCUCUAGGAGUGAACAUGUUGUGUGUCAUGCACAAACUAUUGGUUAGUGUUAAAAACACUGCUACUGAUUCUUGAAGUCUGUGAAAACUCACAUAGCCAUUAAAUGAUCAUAAAAUUACAGUUUUUGCUUCUAUAUUCAGUGAUGUGUUUGCUUCUCCUCUCUACAGGACUUGUGUUAAGAAACUUUUUAUGGGCUUUCGUGGAGAGACGUUUUUAUUUAAUGGGUUUUUACUUUUAGGAAAUCUAGAGCUGUGAUGUAGGGGGUGUAGGUUGUAGCAUCAAUUGAUGAUUGGUAGCACAGAGACAUUGGUUGGAGUGAUGCUGUUGUUUUUACUGAUUUGGAACAAAUACAGGACAAUCAUAUAUGCAAAUUGACAGUUGCCAGAUGGGUUUACAUGCAUGAUGAACUGUGUAUCUGAAGAACUGGGUGUCUGAACUUGGGCAGGAACAGUGUGUAAGCAAGGAAGCAAGAAGGAGCAGCAACCCCCCUUGCCCUCAAGCCAAAAGGUUUUUUUGUUUUUGACAGCUAAAAAAGAGAAUGUGAAUGUUCAGUUAUACAGAUUUACACACCCCGGUAUAGGUAAAUGUGACCUACACUUUUCAAGAAGCACAUUUUUCUUUUCAUAGAUUUGGAUGGAAUUUGGCUACAAAAAGGGGUCUGGACAAAAUCUUUAAAAGAAUCUGACCCUCACCUACAUACCUAACUGCCUACUUCUCUCUUUUUCACUUCCCUAUCCUUCUCCCCAAUGAAAUUUUGGACCCAAAUCAUUUUUCUUUAAAGCUUUUUCUUGUCAUUCAGACUUUAAUUUUUUCCUCACAAAUUUUCACAGCCACAGCACCAUGUAUUUUAUCACACACCCAGGUCCCACAUUACACACUCAAUGCCUUACCUAUAUUUUAUCUUGACAUGUUUCUAGAUCUACUAAUUAGGAUUUAAUUCUACUUUGGUUGGGUUUAAAAGUAAAACUCAUCUGUUGACUUCUUGCUCUUGACAUACAACUGUAUCAGACUGUUCAAACAAUGGAUUGAGCAAGAAAUUAUCAAACCAACAACUUCACCACACCAUUAUUUCACCAAUAAAGAGAAAAGAAAAACAAUCUCACUGUCAAAAGGUGUAUUUUAUAGAUUACACGUCUUUGCAUGAACUUUUUCCCUGUUAAAAACCCUAACCCAAGUGACAAAACCAUCCAUAUGGACCAACCUCUAUGAUGUCUCUCUUUUUCUACCAACUUCUUGACAUUAUAAUCUUUGAACAUGUAAAUGUCUUAAAAAUAAAACCCAAAUGAUUGAACAGAGCACAGUUCCACAAGCAAUUAUGUUUUUGAUUUAUCAAAAUUUUGAUUUGGGUG